rnacentral:snoRNA from 13 species
ACGACCUUACUUGAACAAGAUCUGUUCUAUAGGCUCGUACCACUGUAUCGUUGACUUCUAAGGAGAUAGGAAACCAAGUCUGGUGGAUGAAUCGUGGUCAUGAAACUCGAGUGUGAUGAUUGUUCUUCAGGGCCUUUCGGGGUCAUUGUGUGCAGUAGAUGAUUGUUCUCAGCCUGGUUUGCCCGUCCCUGAGAUGGUCUCAUGGCAGUCUGACAGACU